GAUGAACGCUGGCGGCGUGCUUAACACAUGCAAGUCGAACGAUGAAGCCCAGCUUGCUGGGUGGUUUAGUGGCGAACGGGUGAGUAACACGUGAGUAACCUGCCCUUGACUCUGGGAUAAGCCUGGGCAACUGGGUCUAAUACUGGAUAUGACUUCUCAUCGCAUGGUGGGGGGUGGAAAGAUUUAUUGGUCUUGGAUGGACUCGCGGCCUAUCCGCUUGUUGGUGAGGUAAUGGCUCACCAAGGCGACGCCGGGUAGCCGGCCUGAGAGGGUGCCCGGCCACACUGGGACUGAGAGAGGGCCCAGACUGCUACGGGAGGCAGCAGUGGAGAAUAUUGCACAAUGGGCGCGAGCCUGAUGCAGCGACGCCGCGUGCGGGAUGACGGCCUUCGGGUUGUAAACCUCUUUCAGUAGGGAAGAAGCGAGAGUGACGGUACCUGCAGAAGAAGCGCCGGCUAACUACGUG
rnacentral:rRNA from 1 species